rnacentral:rRNA from 1 species
UACGAAGGGGGCUAGCGUUGCUCGGAAUUACUGGGCGUAAAGGGCGCGUAGGCGGACAGUUUAGUCAGAGGUGAAAGCCCAGGGCUCAACCCUGGAAUUGCCUUUGAUACUGACUGUCUUGAGUACGGGAGAGGUGAGUGGAACUCCGAGUGUAGAGGUGAAAUUCGUAGAUAUUCGGAAGAACACCAGUGGCGAAGGCGACUCACUGGCCCGUUACUGAUGCUGAGGCGCGAAAGCGUGGGGAGCAAACAGG